UCUCCGUUGGUGAACCAGCGGAGGGAUCAUUACCGAGUUUACAACUCCCAAACCCCUGUGAACAUACCAAUUGUUGCCUCGGCGGAUCAGCCCGCUCCCGGUAAAACGGGACGGCCCGCCAGAGGACCCCUAAACUCUGUUUCUAUAUGUAACUUCUGAGUAAAACCAUAAAUAAAUCAAAACUUUCAACAACGGAUCUCUUGGUUCUGGCAUCGAUGAAGAACGCAGC
rnacentral:misc_RNA from 1 species